rnacentral:lncRNA from 1 species
GAUGUACACUUUGACUUGGGAAUUUUCUAGAUUGCUGCCGCUCGCCUGGCAAUGUGGGAAGGGUGCCAUCCGCUAUUGCUUGCAAUGGCAAAUCUAGUUUUUAUGGCACCCUCAACGGAGUUGGGGUGACAUCUUGUUAUUGUUCGUUUCUUUUUUUUCUUUUUAUUAUUAUUAUUUUUAUUCUUCCACACAUUUUGUCCAUACUAUUUCUCAGAAUUGGUCAGACCAAUGUAGAUGGAACUAUACCAUAAUAUGAACCGCCAUGUUAAGUUGUGCAAGAGACAUUGGAAUGGUAAAAAAUGGCCGCCGUUGCCAUGGAAACUGAUCAAAUGUGAAAAAAAAUGCAAAUUUUAAAUCUUUCAUUAUAAGACCUACCUGGAUGAAACUUAGUGGUAAUGUUCCUUGGUAUGCCUAGAUGUUGUGACAAUAUAAGAAAAUUCCAAAAUGGCCGCCAUUGUCAUGGAAACAGGGCGAAAGUUUAACAUUGGCCCUAUAGGAAAAUACAUUAAAGAUGCAUUUUCUUGAAGAAUAUAGCAUCAAUCCCAAUGAAACUUUAUAGAUAUGUAACAUGGCAUGUCCCAAAGUGGCACCUGUCUUUGGAAUUUUAGAAAUGGUACCCGUUACCAUGGAAAUGGCAAACAUUUCAAAAAUUUCAAAAUGCUCCAAAAUUAAUGAAACGUUACAACAAUGUUAAUACACAUCUGUAGAUGCAAUCUUUGACUUUGGAAUUUUCAAAAUGGUUCCCGCUCACCUGGCAAUAGGGGAAGGGUGCCAUCCGCUAUUGCUUGCAAUGGCAAAUCUAGUUCUUAUUAUUAUUAUUAUUUUUCUUGCAACAAAUUUUGUCCAGGUGAUUUCUCGAAAUCCAAUGGACCAAUGUUGAUGGAACUCUACUAUAGUAAGGACCCCCAGGUGCAGAGUUGCAGGAAGCAUGGAAUGGUUCAAGAUGGCUACCGUUUCCAUGGAAACAGAACAAAUGUGAAAAAAUCCAGUUUUUUGUUUUGGUGAACUGUUUGGAUAUGCUUUAUCUCAGAAUCAUUAUAUUUUAAUACAAUGUAGGUGCCCACUAUAUACAGGUGUUGGAUGAUUUUGGUGAUCAUUGGAACUACUAUGUUGCCAUGGAAACUACACCAAAAAUUUCGAAAUUCUCAAAAUGCUCCAAACUUCAUGAAACUUCACAGUAACGAUGAGCAACAUUGGAAGAUGAGGAAUUUGGCGUUGGAAUUUCCAAAAUAUCUGUUGUUACCUUGGAAACAAUGCAAAAAGGUCAAAACUUUGAAUUUUCACAGAACAUUCCAGAACAUCAAUGUUAAAUUUAUUCUAGAGACAUUAAAUGGUAUAUUAUUAUGGAGGGCAAAAAAUGCAGCACGGGUUUGACUUUGGAAUAUUCAAAAUGGCCGCCGUUACCAUGGAAACAGCAAAAAUAUGAAAAACUUCAAAAUGCUUCAAAUUUAAGGAAACUUAUAACAAAUGUUGCCUAGCUUAUGUAGACUUGACUUUUGAGUUUGGAAUUUUCUAAAUGGCCGCCGCUCACCUGGCAAUAGGGGAAGGGUGCCAUCCGUUAUUGCUAGCAAUUACAAAUCUAGUUAUAAUUGUGCUUAUAACAAC